CUACUGUAAGUGUGACUCGUUUAAACGACGUCGCACACCCACACAGGGAAGUAAUCUGCAGGCUGCCGUGGCAUAUACACUUGGAAGAAGCACCUAAAAUUUAGGAAAGAGUGGAGUCUUGCCAAUAGUUUGAUUGAUUUAAGUCGACUGAGAUCCCAAGAAAAAUAUUUGCCUAACCAGAACCUGGAAUCUAGGCCAAGAAAACUCAAAGAAAUCACCCCUGAUUGCAAUGAGUUCCAUCUCCAAUUUCUGUGACAGCAACUGAGAAUUAUGGCACAAGCAUUUACCCUCUUGUUCACAUCAAACUGUUUCUUCUGUUCUUGGAAUUAUUCAGAAGACAUGAACUCUGAGCAAUGCAGGCUUAAAGGACGCAGGCAAUUUCCAGUGAUGUCAAUGGUAGUGACCUCUUGUUCGUGAAAUGAACGCUUGACCCUUUACAUUCUAGGACCACUUUCAACACUGUUUUGAAGGAGAACAAAGCAAUGACUCAUGACUCAUAGGGUAAAGGAAUUUCAAAACUCCUAUACAUACUGAGAUUUUAUUCCAGUGUUAUUACAUAAUGUCAGGCAGGCAAAUAGAUACAAAAUUGUAAUUAGUUUUAAAGCAUGCAUCUCUUUAAUUACUGAAAUUCAUAGUUUGUGCUACCUAAUGAGAAAAAAAUCUAUCGGUUCUGUUAAUAUUCUUUUAUUCAGCACAAUUCAAUUGUGUUUGAUAAAGUUCAAUAGGGAAAGCUUUACUAUUUUUAACUUGGUAAAAAUAACAGGAGUUUAAGUAACAGUUGGCUACACAUCUCCUGCUCACAGAGGCUUCAUCUGGCCUCAGAUGGACAUACAGCUGAAUUGGCACUGGAUUUUACACUGACUCUAUCACGCUAUAAGUAUGUGUCAGAGAUGUCUCUUAAGAAAGCAGAGCAAUAAUACAGAGACCUGGAAACAUGGUUUCUGUCUUGUGAAUUUGUUCAUAUGGGAUUCAUAAAGAAAAAAUGAAAAAAUUUCAUUUCCAAUUCAGCUUUCCAAGCAGAGUAAUUUUUGUUUGUUUGUUUGUUUUUUCAAGACAGGAUUUCUCUGUGUAGCUUUGGAAUCUGUCCUGGGCCAGGCUGGUCUUGAACUCACAGAGAUCUGCCUGCCUCUGCCUCCCAAGUUCUGGAAUUAAAGGCAUGUGCCACCACCGCCUGACUUAGCCACCACCACCCAGCGUUCUCCAGGUCUUAUUGAUGAUGGUUCUUAUGUUUUAUAGAUGAUAAUAAUAAUACAAAUAAUACCUGUACAUUCAUGAUGAGAAGUUUGAAAUGUUUAUAUUUUGAUAUAUUUGAUAUACAUUUUGAUGUUGACACAUAGAUAAAUACUUCAUGUUUAUAAAUAUCUUGUGAUAUUUAUAUUAUAAUAUAUUUCAAGAAGACAAACUUUAUGUCUUCAUUUUAUAGAAAACUUCAGCUGUUAGCAACAGGAGACGCAACUGAAAUUUCAAUAUAUAAUUAUUUACUGAUGCAGGAUGUUGUGAUCUUGGCCUUUCAAUACUUAUGAAUAAAAUUUUCUUUAUUUC